CCCUCGACCUCCCGCACAACAGUCCAGCACUCUAUCCAUCGAGCUAACCGGGAGGCAGUUAUGUACAAGUUUUAAUAUUUGAUGACUGAGUGUGACACAAGAAACUGGAUUGGGUUACAGUUACAGUACGUUUCUUUUAGCUGAAUCAGCCUGGAUCCCCAAUGUGGUUACAAAGAACAUAGUUGACACAAGCAAAGAACAUAGCAGUUCAAGAUGGCUCAUUCCCCCAGAAAUCUCUAAGGUUGUUGAAGUUGAACGUGAGUGGUAAAAAUAGGACAUGAAAGUUGGAAAUUUGCACCAUAAAAUCCAUAAAUGGCAGCUCUGUUGCAGGGCAUAAAGCGUGGCCUUUAAAUCUUGGUAGGCCUUGGUUCUCCUGCUGUAAUUGUUUACAAAGUGUCUUGUGGAUAGAACCUGGGGUUGAAAGUUGUGGUGUCUGUAACAGAUUUUAUUGAUGCAUUCUCGUUUGUGUUCUUUGGAACUAUUUUUCAUACUCCAUUCAAUUGGGGAGGGCAUUUGACAAAAACAAAUACACAGAUAUUUUGUACCUUGAUUUUACCAAGGUUUUAGGCACAGGUGAUGAUGUCAUUCUUAUUGGAAAGCAGAAAUGGUACAGUGUCACAGGUCGAUCAACUGAUAGAUUGUUUUUCAGAUUACCUAAAGGACAGAUCACAGAGAGUUGUGAAGAAUAGGACAAAACAGUUGGAAUUUGUGUUUGAUGGCACAGCCAGAAGUCUUGUAGGCCACUCUUCUUUGUACUGAAUUUUUUUAUCAAUGAUCUUCCUGAUGCCAUCCUAGGGCAAACCAGCAUGCCUUGUAUGCUGAUGAUACUAGGCUGCACUGUACUAUUUUUAACAGACUGAGUGAAGGACUGUAUUAUUCUCCAGUAGGAUCUGACACUGAAGUUUGAACAUCUAGAGCCAAGGAUCAAAUAUGAAGUUUAACACCUCCAAAUGCAAAGUGUUAACAGUCAUGUGAAAGAAAACACCUGUAACUAUGGAUUAUCACCUUGGCAAUGUAAACCUUCACUGCAUUUAGGUAGAAAUAAAUCUUUGGUGUUACCAUUCCUGGCAAUCUAUUGUGGGACUCUCACAUUAUGCGCAUUGUCAAGGCUAACAGAAUUAAAUGUUGGGUCUCUUAAAGAGAACUUGUCCCAUUAUCACUGAUAUCAAAGUCAGGUAGUACUUCCACUAGACAGAUGUAUGGUCUUCUGCUACACCUUAGUGUAAAUUUGAGAAUGAUCUUAUCAACACCUCAGAACGAUAAAUUGACAUGAUAUCUGGUUCCGAUGAUAAAUUGUUCCGACUUCCCAUUUUCAAUUUAACUUCGAAACUUGACUUUCCACUUAAGUGCUAAUGGUCUACUAACUACUCUGUUGUCACAAAAUUUGAGUUUAUGCUUAUGAAAUAGACACUUGAAAAUAAUCACACAAUGUGCUCACUAUACAGACAGUAUCAGUCUGAUGGAAAAUCUUCUGAGCAGCCCAAUGUUGCCUUAUCAAUCUAAUGCUUAAAGGUGGUGAUA